UAGCCCACUGGAGACACUGCAGCAGUGGGUGAAGUUGUACUGCAGGGACCUAGACCUUGAGACGCGACAGAAGGCAGCAGCCAUGGAGAGGAGGCUCCAGGCGGCUUCUUCAGGCUCAGGCAAGUGGGGCCUUCUUCACCUGCGGAAUUGCCCUGGGCUCUGGGCCCUGACUAACACUCCAGCAUAGGGGGCAGAGAGAGAGUCUGGUAACUGUCUCAUGAUGCAUUCUCCCUCCUACAGCCUCCCCAGCCUCCUGGACCAUCCCAAGUAACCACCUGUUUGAUCCUGAGACCUCUCCUCCCUCAAGCCCCUGCCCAGAACCCCCUUGGCACACUCCUAGGUCCUCAGAGGCCUCUCUAGCCUGCACCAGGGUUUCCCCACAGCAGGCUGCAUCAGUUGUGGCAAGGCCUCGAAGGAGCAGGCAUAGGUUGGCCAGCAGCAGCAGCUCAGAGGGGGAGGACAGUGCUGGGCCCCAAAUGCCAUCCCAGAAGAGGCCAAGGUGCUUUGCCCCAGCACAACGGGAUGAGGCCAGGACAGCUUGCCCUGCCAGCAUCAGGGAGGCGAGUACAGUGAGUGCUGGCCAGGCAGCCUAUCAGGCAGCCAUCCGAGGUGUGGGCAGUGCCCAGAGCCGCUGCCUCAGGCAGGGCCCUUGGGGCCCAGGUGAAGCCCCUACACCCCAGACAGCACUCAUUCCGGAGGAGGAAUACCUGGCUGGAGACUGGCUGGAAUUGGACACACCCCUGCCCCGCAGCCGCCCAUUCCGCCUGCCCCGCCCCCAGGGCAGUGGGGACAGCAACAGGCCCAGUACUGUAGGGCCAGACGAUGAGGAACACCCUGCCAGGCCCCGAACCCGGACCAGGCAGAGCCGCCUGACCUGUCUUGAGAGUUGCAGCACACUGGACAGAGCUGGAGGCAGCAGCUUGGCUGCAGAGCUCUCAGAGAAUCCCAAUGUGCUCAGGGUCCCUGGGGAAAGCCCUGCAACAGGCCAGCCCUCGGUGGGUGACAAGCUGGUAGCAGAGCUAACCCCCAGCUUGGGCAGGUGGAGAUGGAGGCCUCUGUCUUUCCUGACUGCCCUGUCCCCUGUUCCUCCUAUCAGGGUCUAGUACAGCCUCCUCCCAUCCGGAUUCGAGUUCAAGUUCAGGAUAACCUU
rnacentral:lncRNA from 1 species